CCUACGGGAGGCAGCAGUGAGGAAUAUUGGUCAAUGGACGAGAGUCUGAACCAGCCAAGUAGCGUGAAGGAUGACUGCCCUAUGGGUUGUAAACUUCUUUUAUAUGGGAAUAAAAUGUUCCACGUGUGGGAUUUUGUAUGUACCAUAUGAAUAAGGAUCGGCUAACUCCGUGCCAGCAGCCGCGGUAAUACGGAGGGUCCGAGCGUUAUCCGGAUUUAUUGGGUUUAAAGGGAGCGUAGGUGGAUUGUUAAGUCAGUUGUGAAAGUUUGCGGCUCAACCGGAAAAUUGCAGUUGAAACUGGGAGUCUUGAGUACAGUAGAGGUGGGCGGAAUUCGUGGUGUAGCGGUGAAAUGCGUAGAUAUCACGAAGAACUCCGAUUGCGAAGGCAGCUCACUGGACUGCAACUGACACUGAGGCUCGAAAGUGUGGGUAUCAAACAGGAUUAGAUACCCCAGUAGUC
rnacentral:rRNA from 1 species